rnacentral:rRNA from 1 species
AUUGAACGCUGGCGGAAUGCUUUACACAUGCAAGUCGAACGGCAGCACGGACUUCGGUCUGGUGGCGAGUGGCGAACGGGUGAGUAAUGUAUCGGAACGUGCCCAGUCGUGGGGGAUAACGUAGUGAAAAUUACGCUAAUACCGCAUACGAUCUAUGGAUGAAAGCGGGGGAUCGCAAGACCUCGCGCGAUUGGAGCGGCCGAUAUCAGAUUAGGUAGUUGGUGGGGUAAAGGCCCACCAAGCAAACGAUCUGUAGCUGGUCUGAGAGGACGACCAGCCACACUGGAACUGAGACACGGUCCAGACUCCUAAGGGAGGCAGAAGUGGGGAAUUUUGGACAAUGGGCGAAAGCCUGAUCCAGCCAUUCCGCGUGCAGGAUGAAGGCCCUCGGGUUGUAAACUGCUUUUGUACAGAACGAAAAGGUUUCUACUAAUACUAGGAGCUCAUGACGGUACUGUAAGAAUAAGCACCGGCUAACUACGUGCCAGCAGCCGCCGUAA